GAUGAACGCUGGCGGCGUGCCUAAUACAUGCAAGUCGAGCGAAUGGAUUAAGAGCUUGCUCUUAUGAAGUUAGCGGCGGACGGGUGAGUAACACGUGGGUAACCUGCCCAUAAGACUGGGAUAACUCCGGGAAACCGGGGCUAAUACCGGAUAACAUUUUGAACCGCAUGGUUCGAAAUUGAAAGGCGGCUUCGGCUGUCACUUAUGGAUGGACCCGCGUCGCAUUAGCUAGUUGGUGAGGUAACGGCUCACCAAGGCAACGAUGCGUAGCCGCCCUGGGAGGGUGAUUGACCACACUGGGACUGAGAUACGGCCCAGACUGCUACGGGAGGCAGCAGUAGGGAAUCUUCCGCAAUGGACGAAAGUCUGACGGAGCAACGCCGCGUGAGUGAUGAAGGCUUUCGGGUCGUAAAACUCUGUUGUUAGGGAAGAACAAGUGCUAGUUGAAUAAGCUGGCACCUUGACGGUACCUAACCAGAAAGCCACGGCUAACUACGUGCCAGCAGCCGCGGUAA
rnacentral:rRNA from 1 species